AUGAUUUUUAUUUCUUCUAUUACAGCUGGUUUAUAGUCUUCUGUCAAUUUUCUACUGUACAGCAAGGUGACCCAGUCACACAUACAUGUAUACAUUCUCUUUUCUCACAUUAUCAUGCUCCAUCACAAGUGACUAGACAUAGUUUCCAGUGCUAUACAACAGGAUCUCAUUGCUUAUCCAUUCCAAAGGCAAUAUUAUCCCUUUGAACCAGGGAACAGGGACUAUAUUCUGGGAUGUUGCUACACAGGAGUAUAACUUCAACUCAUUGUUAAUUUUUAACUGAAUUUCAAGGCAAAUUUAAUGUUAGGAAAAUAGUUAGAUUGGAAAUGUUGAAGCCAUAUUGAAGAUAUGAUUUGAGAAUGAAAAUAAGCAAAUAGAGUCUUAAAUAUAAUUUGGUUUUGAUAUAAAAAUAAAUGCUCACUAUGAGCAUUUUGAGAUGAAGAGUAAAGAAUAUAAAACAAAUUCAUAACACCCAUAUUUAGAGCUAAACACCCUUAACCGCAUUUUAUAUGUUAUAAAAUUGAGAUAUCCCUGCCAUUAAAAUAUAGUAUUUUUCAUCUACAUUUAACUAGCAUUAAUAAAAUAAUUUCCCUGUGCUAUUAAAAUUAUGCUUACGUUCCAUCUGCUUCUCUUAAUAAUUUUUAAGCUAUAAGAGUGUGCCUAAUGCUAAAAUCUAAAAGGUAAGGUAGAAAGAGGCAAAAACCUGGUGAAAAAUAAGUCUACUAUUAAGAAAUUAAUAUUUACUUUUGGUGUACUACCUUUCAAUCUUUAAAAAUAUAUAUAUUAUAUGUAUGUUUAUGUAUUGACAAAUAUAAUAUGUGUAUUGUGUUUCUCUUGUCAUUUUUGGUUAGCAAAAUAUCGAGAAUAUGUUUCAAUAAAAAUAUUGUCUUAUAACAGGAUUUAAUGGAUAUAUAUAGUACUUUAUUAUCUGGACAUAAUUUAUGUAUUUAUGAAGAGUCGUCACUGUGGUGAAUUUACGUUAUUCUUUUUGAUAAAAUGUUUGAACAUAUAUCAUUUCAAAUUUAAAUUAUUUCUUUAGGACAAGUUCCCAAAAGUAUAAUUAUUGGGCAAAAAUUUUUAAAUAAAUUUAAUAAUUGAUAUAGUAAAAAUUUUCCAAUUAAUUUGAAGUGAUUUACAUGCUGACAGAGUAAAAAGGGGAUUAUUUUUUUCCUUCAAUGUGACAACACAGGAUAUGAGCACUUUAUCAUUUUUAUAUCAGUCUGAUGGGUAAAAAAUGGUAUCUCGGUUUUCAUUUACAUUUCUUUUGUGAGUAGUGAAGUUAAUUUUUUCAUGUUUAUUUGAUAUAUUUAUAUUAAUGAAUAGAAAACUAUUAAUGUCUCGUACUCAAAAUUACUACGUUCAUACUUUUGUUGUCUUAUAAGAGCUAUUUAUAUGUUAGAUAUCAAUCUUUUGUCUAUGCAAAUGUAUUUCAAUUUGUGAUUUCCUUUUCAGUUAUCUUUAUCCUCUUUCAAGUAAAUUAAGUUUAAAGAUAUUUAUGUAGUUAAAUACAUCAAUAUUUUUCCUCUCUAAUUUCUGCUUUGAAGUUGUGCUUAGAAGGGGUUACCUCAAACAUCCAAGAUUAUAUAAAUAUUCAAGAUAUUGUCUUCUGGACUUCUGUGGAUUUCAUUUUUUCUAGUUAGUUCUCUAAAAGUUUAUAUCUGAACCUUAUUUUGAAGUAAGAUGCGAUAUAGACUCUAACAUUUUUCUCAACAAUAUUUUGGAAGAGUAAAUUUUAUUACAUAAUUAAUACAGCCAUCAAAGAUAAUGAAUACAAAUUGUAAAAUGCCAAUUAUAAUCCCAGUUAUUAACAACAUCUUACCCUCCUUCGUUCACCCUUUCUCUCCACACAGUCUCUGUCUCUUGCUGUCUUACUUCAUGCAUGGGGACAGGGGGAGUUACCAUGUAUGCCAGGCAUCAAAUAGUGCUUUGACAUUCUCAUGUAUGUAAUCCUCCAAAUGGACUUGUGAAGUAGAAAUUGUUCACUAUAUUUAAAGAUAAGGAGAGAGGAACCUGGAGAGAUCAGGGGUGGGGGACAAAGAUGAUAAAGAUCAAUGCCUGACAAAUACGCACGUGUAUGAGUUCCUGGGAGUGUUGUUAAAAGACAGAUUCUCUCUCUCUCUAUUUUUUUUUUUUUUUUUUUUUGCUUUUAAGGGCCACACUUGUGGCAUAUGCAAAUUCCCAGGCAAGGAGUCAAAUCAGAGCUACAGCUGCCAGCCUACACCACAGCCACAGCAACACUAGAUCGAAGUCAUGUCUGUCACCGACACCACAGCUCACAGCAACACCAGAUCCUUAAUCUGCUGAGAGCGGCCAGGGAUCAGACCCACUACUCAUGGAUACUAGUAGGGUUUGUUUCCACUGAGCCACAGUGGGAACUCCAAAGAACAGAUUCUUACUCAGAAAGUUGAGGAGAGACCCGAGACUUUCAGGUGAUGCUGAUGGUCCAUGGAUCAUAUGCUGAGUAGUAAGAACAAGGAAAACAAUUAAAUAGAGGAAGGCAAUAUAUAUCUAGGUCUUCAGACACCUGUCUCUUUCCACUCUCCCAUGCUUCCUCCAGCUGCUAUCAGCACACAAGUGCUUAUCCUUCUAACAAGCUUCCAACCUGAAACAAAGGUGGUUUUUUCAAGCCCCACCUUUAUUCACAAAGGCAACAAUUACUUUAAAAAUAUGAAAGUGAAGAUGAGUGAUAAAAAGAAAUUUAGAUGAAAAAAGCCCAGGCAUGUAUACCUCAGAAAAAGUUCCAAGCACACUUUCUGAGACUUGGAAGGUCCCAUUACUGAAAUUAAUUUCUAGAGGACACAGAGAGUUAGGUUCCAAAGAAAAACUAGGAGCGCCAAAAUAUUUCAAUUGUAUUUUAUAAUCUAGACAUUCUUUAAAUAUGGAACAUUCACAGUUAUUGCUAAGAUCAAU
rnacentral:lncRNA from 1 species